rnacentral:rRNA from 1 species
GAAACGACUGCUAAGACUGGAUAGGAACAAAAAGGCAUCUUUUUGUUUUUAAAAGCACCUUCUUACGAAGGUAUGCUUAAAGAGGGGCUUGCGCCACAUUAGUUAGUUGGUAGGGUAAAAGCCUACCAAGACGAUGAUGUGUAGCUGGACUGAGAGGUUGAACAGCCACAUUGGGACUGAGACACGGCCCAAACUCCUACGGGAGGCAGCAGUAGGGAAUUUUCGGCAAUGGAGGAAACUCUGACCGAGCAACGCCGCGUGAACGAUGAAGUAUUUCGGUAUGUAAAGUUCUUUUAUUGAAGAAGAAAAAGUAGUGGAAAAACUAUAUUGACGUUAUUCAAUGAAUAAGCCCCGGCUAACUAUGUGCCAGCAGCCGCGGUAAGACAUAGGGGGCGAGCGUUAUCCGGAAUUAUUGGGCGUAAAGGGUGCGUAGGCUGUUAGAUAAGUCUAUAAUUUAAUUUCAGUGCUUAACGCUGUCUUGUUAUAGAAACUGUCUUGACUAGAGUGAGAUAGAGGCAAGCGGAAUUCCAUGUGUAGCGGUAAAAUGUGUAAAUAUAUGGAGGAACACCAGAAGCGUAGGCGGCUUGCUGGGUCUUUACUGACGCUGAGGCACGAAAGCGUGGGUAGCAAACAGGAUUAGAUACCCUGGUAGUCCACGCCGUAAACGAUGAGUACUAAGUGUCGGGGUAAAACUCGGUACUGAAGUUAACACAUUAAGUACUCCGCCUGAGUAGUACGUACGCAAGUAUGAAACUUAAAGGAAUUGACGGGACUCCGCACAAGCGGUGGAUCAUGUUGUUUAAUUCGAAGAUACACGAAAAAUCUUACCAGGUCUUGACAUACUCUGCAAAGCUAUAGAAAUAUAGUGGAGGUUAUCRGGGAUACAGGUGGUGCAUGGUUGUCGUCAGUUCGUGUCGUGAGAUGUUAGGUUAAGUCCUAAAACGAGCGCAACCCUUGUCGUUAAUUGCCAGCACGUAAUGGUGGGGACUUUAGCGAGACUGCCAAUUAAACAUUGGAGGAAGGUGAGGAUUACGUCAAAUCAUCAUGCCCCUUAUGAUCUGGGCUACAAACGUGAUACAAUGGCUGUGACAAAGAGUAGCUGAAACGCGAGUUUUUAGCCAAUCUCAAAAAAGCAGUCUCAGUUCGGAUUGAAGUCUGUAACUCGACUUCAUGAAGUUGGAAUCGCUAGUAAUCGCGAAUCAGCAUGUCGCGGUGAAUACGUUCUCGGGGUUUGUACACACCGCCCGUCA